AUGGCCAUAUCACGUUGAAACAUUGGUUCCCGUAUGAUAGCCGAAGUUAAGCAACAUCGAAACUGGUCAGUACCUAGAUGGGUAACCCCUUGGGAAUAACAAGUGCUGUA